rfam:Felis catus isolate Cinnamon breed Abyssinian chromosome D3, whole genome shotgun sequence.
GCCUGGGUGGCUCAGUUGGUUAAGCGUCUGACUUCAGCUCAGGUCACGAUCUCACAGUUGUGAGUUCGAGCCCCAUGUCAGGCU